ACUCCUACGGGAGGCAGCAGUGGGGAAUAUUGCACAAUGGGGGAAACCCUGAUGCAGCCAUGCCGCGUGUGUGAAGAAGGCCUUCGGGUUGUAAAGCACUUUCAGCAGUGAGGAAGGCGGAGUCGUUAAUAGCGGCCUCGUUUGACGUUAGCUGCAGAAGAAGCACCGGCUAACUCCGUGCCAGCAGCCGCGGUAAUACGGAGGGUGCGAGCGUUAAUCGGAAUUACUGGGCGUAAAGCGCAUGCAGGUGGUUUGUUAAGUCAGAUGUGAAAGCCCGGGGCUCAACCUCGGAAUAGCAUUUGAAACUGGCAGACUAGAGUACUGUAGAGGGGGGUAGAAUUUCAGGUGUAGCGGUGAAAUGCGUAGAGAUCUGAAGGAAUACCGGUGGCGAAGGCGGCCCCCUGGACAGAUACUGACACUCAGAUGCGAAAGCGUGGGGAGCAAACAGGAUUAGAUACCCUGGUA
rnacentral:rRNA from 1 species